rnacentral:rRNA from 1 species
CGCGCAGGCGGCUUGGCAAGUCGAGUGUGAAAUCCCUUGGCUUAACUAAGGAAUGGCGCUCGAAACUACCUCGCUGGAGGGCGGGAGAGGGAAGUGGAACUCUCGGUGUAGGGGUGAAAUCUGUAGAUAUCGAGAGGAACACCGGUGGCGAAGGCGGCUUCCUGGCCCGUACCUGACGCUGAGGCGCGAAAGCGUGGGGAGCAAACA